UACGGAGGGAGCUAGCGUUGUUCGGAAUUACUGGGCGUAAAGCGCACGUAGGCGGCUAUUCAAGUCGGGGGUGAAAGCCCGGGGUUCAACCCCGGAACUGCCCUCGAAACUAGAUAGCUAGAAUCUUGGAGAGGCGAGUGGAAUUCCGAGUGUAGAGGUGAAAUUCGUAGACAUUCGGAAGAACACCAGUGGCGAAGGCGACUCGCUGGACAAGUAUUGACGCUGAGGUGCGAAAGCGUGGGGAGCAAACAGG
rnacentral:rRNA from 1 species